UCAGGUUGAUUGUGCUCCGGUGUGGUCAAUAACCUCUCGGAGUUGGUUUAGCGAUUGCUAAGGCGCAACGUCGUGCACGUUUGUAGUCGGAUCGUCAAAGUCUACUCCACCAAAUCGAUAGUUAUCAUCUCAUCGAAAGAUCGGGACACCCUCGCCUCUAUCAUGCUUAAAUGUUAAUUAUUUUACCAUCCUACGCAUAGCUUAUGAGCUAGAUUACUUUGUCCUGUAUUGUCAAGCACUUGGAGUCUGGAAACACGAUGUUUUCCUUCAUAUGGUGGAUCAUUGGAUUCUAUUGGGUAUCUGCAGGUGGUCAGGCUUUAUCACAAGAUGCUCCUCAACUUUACUGGCUCUCAAUUGUGUUUCUCGCAUUUGAUGUUUUCUUUGUGGUAUUUUGUGUUGGCCUUGCUUGUUU